CUCACUUCUGCAAAACUGCAAGUAAGCAUGCUAGCUCCAAAGGUCACCAUACCAACCAUGCCUACCACAGUUUGCCCACCGUGGAAGCUUUUUUAGACCAGGAAAUGACAGCUAGAUGCUUGCUGGGUGACCUGGGCCACACGACCUAACCUCAAUUAAAUGUCUUCAGGAGCCUGGACACUCGGAGGACCUGGAAGGCCAUUUUGUAGAUGAAGAAAAGAGUCCCAGAGAGGUGAAAUUAUUUUCCUGAGCUCGCAGAGGUGGUAAAUGGCCAACUCAAGCCCUGUGGCACCCAAGUUCAGCAGUUUUCUUUUUUCACAUUGUCUUUGUAAAAUGUAAAAUGCAUAUAAAA
rnacentral:lncRNA from 1 species